GAUUUAGGAUAGGGGUUUUGGCUGUGGAGGAUGAACAGUUAGGGUUUUGGUUUGAAGGAGGAAUUGGGGAUUUUGGUAAUGGGUUUAAAGGGGGAGCAAAAGGUGAGAGUUUUGAGGCUCGAUUAGUUUGGAUUGGAGAUUUUAGUGGAAGAAUUUUAAAGUUUUGGGAAUCAAAUUGAACAGUACCAGUAGAUCUAGAGAAAGACGGUACUGCAGAGGAGUUGGGAUUGGCUUUAGCAGAUGCUGCAGCAGUUUGAGUAG
rnacentral:lncRNA from 1 species